UACGGAGGGAGCUAGCGUUGUUCGGAAUUACUGGGCGUAAAGCGCACGUAGGCGGCUUUGCAAGUUAGAGGUGAAAGCCUGGGGCUCAACUCCAGAAUUGCCUUUAAGACUGCAUCGCUCGAAUCCAAGAGAGGUGAGUGGAAUACCGAGUGUAGAGGUGAAAUUCGUAGAUAUUCGGAAGAACACCAGUGGCGAAGGCGGCUCACUGGCUUGGUAUUGACGCUGAGGUGCGAAAGCGUGGGGAGCAAACAGG
rnacentral:rRNA from 1 species